rnacentral:rRNA from 1 species
CCUACGGGUGGCAGCAGUGAGGAAUAUUGGUCAAUGGACGAGAGUCUGAACCAGCCAAGUAGCGUGAAGGAUGACUGCCCUAUGGGUUGUAAACUUCUUUUAUAUGGGAAUAAAAUGUUCCACGUGUGGGAUUUUGUAUGUACCAUAUGAGUAAGGAUCGGCUAACUCCGUGCCAGCAGCCGCGGUAAUACGGAGGAUCCGAGCGUUAGCCGGAUUUAGUGGGUUUAAAGGGAGCGUAGGUGGAUUGUUAAGUCAGUUGUUAAAGUUUGCGGCUCAACCGUAAAAUUGCAGUUGAAACUGGCAGUCUUGAGUACAGUAGAGGAGGGCAGAAUUCGUGGUGUAGCGGUGAAAUGCUUAGAUAUCACGAAGAACUCCGAUAGCGAAGGCAGCUCACUGGACUGCAACUGACGCUGAGGCUCGAAAGUGUGGGUAUCAAACAGGAUUAGAUACCCCAGUAGUC